CGCAUCACUACUCGGACGAACUCGAAUUAGUUUCAGGUACCGAGAAUGUUAGGCAUUCGUUGACCCUAUCGCUCAUGGGAUCGGUUAGAGCCGACGCCACGCACCUGGUGAUGAUGGUGAGAAUUCGACGUCUUCCUCGUUGUUUCUGGGCGCUCUCGCCGGAUCGAAACCACAACACUUUACUCUUUGUUGAUCCAACGAUGAUGGGCGGUGGGUGGGGCGUGAUCGUGACUGUUUCGCUACUGAUGAUCACCCGGGACGUGAGUCGGGGCAAAUCUCUCUGGCGGCGGUAGUCUUUCCCCAGACAGACCACUCGCGACUUCUGCAUCCACGUGUUGACGGUGGGGGAUGCUCUCGAGGCCGAAGGUCUCUAUCGAUGUCCACGCUCUCCAGAAAUAUCCUUUGCAGCACGAGGCCACGAGACAAAGAAUAUCCCCGGAGGAUUGCCCAAAAGUCCGAUCACUAGCACCAAUAGUUGGUUCACAGUGCAACAACGGGAUUCACUUGAUGCUUCCACUCCACUCUCUUCGUAAAGCCACCACUUUUCCCACCAACAGGAGGCCAACGAUCCACGCAAUCACUGCUGGUGACUAUAGAAAGAACAGGUUAGCACCCCAUCACACAAUCUCCUUAGAUCUCAAAAAUUACCUCGCGUAUUCAGGUUUUCUUAAAGUUUCAAUAAUUUUGCUACACUCGACUCACGUUUACUGGCCUAAUUGCAAAUUUUCAUUAGAAACACUUUUCGUAUGAGCUUAUAAUCACAUGCUUACUUUUCACAAUUUCCAGACUAACUUGACUCACGAUUUUUGUAUAUAGAAAUUGAUUUUUGAAAACACUGUAAAAGCUUUGAAAAAUAGAUUAGUUAAUUAUUUGUUCACUACAGUUUAAUUUUAGGUAUACUUUUCUUUAAAUGAGCAUGAGCAUGAGCAUUGGUGACCGUACACUUCGUAGUUGCUACUCCGUGAUUGACUAGAGCUAGCUGAAUUGCACAGAGAACUAAUAGAUGCGGCUUGGGAUUAGCACACCUGUUUCAAUGUGCACGUUCCGAGAACUCGAGUUUUAAUAUGUCAAUAACGGCGCCGGCCACGUCUUACGGUCAACCGGAGAAGGGAUGGAAUGUUAGUUGGACAACCGUUGCUACUAGAGGUUGUAUAUACUACUGUGCCCUCCACAGUUGUCACGGGAAGGAGUUUUUGUUAGUUGGGAGGGAUUGGUAGUUACAUAAAUCAGGAUUCACUUUGAUAAGCGUUGCAAUCUUGAGCAUACACAAAACAUAUAUUCACAGCAUUGUGCCACCUCACAGUUUGGAGGAAUGGUGAAACCUUGAAAAUUCCUAAUAGGAAUUUAGAGAACGCCUUAUGGAACGAACGAUAUCUUGCGUCACCUCGCAAUUAAGAGGACUGGUGAACCAAUAUAAAAUGUUACUUGCUUUGGAUACUAUGCUGCCGUAAUUCUGCAAAAUGACGUAAGCGCCAUUUAAAAUGUCGAUAUUUUUUGGUACAUUAUAUACAAUAUCUGGUGUAAAAAUAACACUGUGGUAUGCCUGCUGUAUUAGAAUACAAGAUCUAGUCGUAAUCUAUCAUCUAUGGAAAGAAACUUAGAGGGUGGGCAAGAGUUUUAUGCAUGAUAACCAAAAAAUGGGAAAACUAUCAAUGUCGCUUACGUCACUUUGCAGAAUUACGGCAGUAUGGAAAUGUUGAGACAAAAUUUUGUGCCGACACCAAUUGUGACGAAACGUACUUAUUAGGGAAAACAAUACUGAAACAUAUUGAAAAACAGAAUACUGUGGCUGGCACCUUUCAGUGGCGGACUGUACAAUAAUAUAGAAAAAAAAUAUUGAAAAAAAUGUGAAUCGCGAGAAUUUGCGCCGAUACUUGAACUUUGCAAUGCUUGUAGUGUAAAUACACGAAAGAUGAGUAUGAGAAACAUAUACAAACAGAUACAUGAUAGACAAAGUGGAAGAGAUAAUUUUCAAGAUGUAACUUUCGACUUUGACAAAAAAAAGUCGACACUCAUGGUGACGAACUAUACAAAUUUGAUCAAAAUGUUUAAAAGAUACAUACACACAUAAUGAAUAAGUAAUAUAAUGAAAAUAGAGUCCACAUACAGAGAGAAAAUAACAAAGAAGCACGAGUUUUACAAACACGCCACAUUUUGGUCUCGUUAGCUGAACAGGACUGAACAUUUUCCUGCAACCAAAAUACGAAUAAAAUGGCAGAGAUAAAAGAAAUAUAGCAACAAGAAUGAUGACAUCUGCGACGAUUGGCGAACCAUCCUGGAAGCGGCACCAUCAAGGGCACCAUCCUCAUCAAUAAUUGGAAUUUCGAACAAUUUUAUUAUCAAAUAUGUGAUUGACAAUCAUCUCUGUAAUAAAAAUAAAAGGAGGAAUAUA